rnacentral:lncRNA from 1 species
CCCCUAUUUUUGGGGUCACACGGGAGGGGCACCCCUGGUUUGGGGUGUCCUGGUGCUUGGGGUCCUUUCCUGCAGGUUCCCCAAACACCCAAAUUUUGGGGUGCUGAUGCUCCAUCCUCGGCCCGUUGGGUUUUCACAUUUCCUGUCCUUUUUGGGGUCCCAUAUUUGGAGGCUGCCCAAACCCAGCUUUUGGGGUAUCUUCAGCUUUUGGGGUACCCCCAUUUUGGGGUCACUGCAGGUUCUGGAUCCUUUCAUUUCCCAGGGGCGCCGCAUCCUCAGGACGCCGUUUUUGGGGCUGUGUCCGUUUCAGGGGUGCAGUUUGGGGUCAGUCGUGGUACAAGCGCAGCAGGCAGGGGCUGAUGGCCGUGUUUGGGGCGCUGUUUUUGGGGUGCUGUUUUUGGGGUGCCCCUCACCUUCUCCACCAGGUCCACGAAGAAGUCGCGCACGUCGCGGGCGUGGGUCAGCUUCCCCCCCACGUUCAC